rnacentral:rRNA from 1 species
CAGGCGACGACGGGUAGCCGACCUGAGAGGGUGACCGGCCACACUGGGACUGAGACACGGCCCAGACUCCUACGGGAGGCAGCAGUGGGGAAUAUUGCACAAUGGGCGAAAGCCUGAUGCAGCGACGCCGCGUGAGGGAUGACGGCCUUCGGGUUGUAAACCUCUUUCAGCAGGGACGAAGCGCAAGUGACGGUACCUGCAGAAGAAGCACCGGCUAACUACGUGCCAGCAGCCGCGGUAAUACGUAGGGUGCAAGCGUUGUCCGGAAUUACUGGGCGUAAAGAGUUCGUAGGCGGUUUGUCGCGUCGUUUGUGAAAACCAGCAGCUCAACUGCUGGCUUGCAGGCGAUACGGGCAGACUUGAGUACUGCAGGGGAGACUGGAAUUCCUGGUGUAGCGGUGAAAUGCGCAGAUAUCAGGAGGAACACCGGUGGCGAAGGCGGGUCUCUGGGCAGUAACUGACGCUGAGGAACGAAAGCGUGGGUAGCGAACAGGAUUAGAUACCCUGGUAGUCCACGCCGUAAACGGUGGGCGCUAGGUGUGGGUUCCUUCCACGGAAUCCGUGCCGUAGCUAACGCAUUAAGCGCCCCGCCGGGGAAGUACGGA